AGAAUGCAGUUCCUGGAAAAGGUGGUGCUUUUGCUGUUUCUGCUUUACAUCCAAGUAGAUAUUAACUGGGCUGUUGUUUAAGAGGAGUGAGAACUGGGGCUAAGUCUCUUCUUAGGUUCUUAUACUUACUAGCCUUUUCUGCAGUUUACAAACUGCAGAACUAACAAGUGUAUUUUCUGAAGCACGCGGAUAUAUCUUUAAAAAAAAAUCAGAAAGUGUCCGUUUGCUCAGGAUCUUGUGUGAUUUUGACUGAAAAGUUCCUGCUCGUCAGUGAAAUCAUCUUCCGUGAACAUUUUGUGCUGCUUAGCAAAGUUCUCUGCACAGCCCCUAUCCUGAAAGAAACUGCUUAUAAGCAGCACGGACUCCUAAAUCCCAGGAGAAUUCCUCUGAACAUCUGUUCUGGCUUCACUAGAGAUAGUGAUGGG
ensembl:lncRNA